UAGGGAAUAUUAGUAAUGGGCGAAAGCCUGAACUAGCAACGCCGCGUGUGCGAAGAAGGCCUUCGGGUUGUAAAGCACUUUUUGAGAGGAUGAGGAAGGACGGUACUCUCAGAAUAAGUCUCGGCUAACUACGUGCCAGCAGCCGCGGUAACACGUAGGAGGCGAACGUUAUCCGGAUUUACUGGGCGUAAAGCGCGUGUAGGUGGUUUGGUAAGUAGGGCGUGAAAGCUCCUGGCUCAACGGGGAGAGGCAGUGCUAAACUGCCUAACUUGAAGAUGGUAGAGGGAGGUGGAAUUCCGAGUGUAGCGGGGGAAUGCGCAGAUCUACGGAGGAACUCCUGUGGCGAACGCGGCCUCCUGGUCCAUUCCUGACACUCAGACGCGAAA
rnacentral:rRNA from 1 species